AGUGAACGCUGGCGGCAGGCCUAACACAUGCAAGUCGAACGGCAGCACAAGAGAGCUUGCUCUCUGGGUGGCGAGUGGCGGACGGGUGAGGAAUGCAUCGGAAUCUGCCCAUUUGUGGGGGAUAACCUCGGGAAACCGGGACUAAUACCGCAUACUACCUACGGGUGAAAGCAGGGGAUCUUCGGACCUUGCGCAGAUGGAUGAGCCGAUGCCGGAUUAGCUAGUUGGAGGGGUAAAGGCCCACCAAGGCGACGAUCCGUAGCUGGUCUGAGAGGAUGAUCAGCCACACUGGGACUGAGACACGGCCCAGACUCCUACGGGAGGCAGCAGUGGGGAAUAUUGGACAAUGGGCGCAAGCCUGAUACAGCAAUGCCGCGUGUGUGAAGAAGGCCUUCGGGUUGUAAAGCACUUUUGUUGGGAAAGAAAAGCAGCCGGUUAAUACCCGGUUGUCAUGACGGUACCCAAAGAAUAAGCACCGGCUAACUUCGUG
rnacentral:rRNA from 1 species